CCUACGGGAGGCAGCAGUGGGGAAUCUUGCGCAAUGGGCGAAAGCCUGACGCAGCCAUGCCGCGUGAAUGAUGAAGGUCUUAGGAUUGUAAAAUUCUUUCACCGGGGACGAUAAUGACGGUACCCGGAGAAGAAGCCCCGGCUAACUUCGUGCCAGCAGCCGCGGUAAUACGAAGGGGGCUAGCGUUGCUCGGAAUUACUGGGCGUAAAGGGAGCGUAGGCGGAUAGUUUAGUCAGAGGUGAAAGCCCAGGGCUCAACCUUGGAAUUGCCUUUGAUACUGGCUAUCUUGAGUGUGGGAGAGGUAUGUGGAACUCCGAGUGUAGAGGUGAAAUUCGUAGAUAUUCGGAAGAACACCAGUGGCGAAGGCGACAUACUGGCCCAUUACUGACGCUGAGGCUCGAAAGCGUGGGGAGCAAACAGGAUUAGAUACCCUGGUGGUCCACGCUGUAAACGAUGAGUGCUAGUUGUCGGCAUGCAUGCACGUCGGUGACGCAGCUAACGCAUUAAGCACUCCGCCUGGGGAGUACGGUCGCAAGAAUUAAAACUCAAAGGAAUUGACGG
rnacentral:rRNA from 1 species